AGAGUUUGAUUAUGGCUCAGGAUGAACGCUGGCGGCGUGCCUAACACAUGCAAGUCGAACGAAGCAGGGGGGGCGGAAUUUUUUCGGAGAGGAAGCCCCCCUGACUGAGUGGCGGACGGGUGAGUAACGCGUGGACAACCUACCCCGCACUGGGGGACAACAGCCGGAAACGGCUGCUAAUACCGCAUAUGCGCACGGCCCCGCAUGGGGCCGCGCGGAAAGCGCAUGCGGUGCGGGAUGGGUCCGCGUCUGAUUAGCUUGUUGGCGGGGUAACGGCCCACCAAGGCGACGAUCAGUAGCCGGCCUGAGAGGGUGGACGGCCACAUUGGGACUGAGACACGGCCCAGACUCCUACGGGAGGCAUCCCCCCCGGAUAUUGCACAAUGGGGGCAACCCUGAUGCAGCGACGCCGCGUGAG
rnacentral:rRNA from 1 species